UCCCUGGUGGUCUAGUGGUUAGGACGUGGCAUUUUCACCACUGCAGCCUGGGCUCAAUUCCUGGUCUGGGAA
rnacentral:tRNA from 1 species